GCAAGAUCUCAGCUCACUGCAAGCUCCGCCUCCCAGGUUCACACGAUUCUCCCCUCUCAGCCUCCUGAGUAGCUGACAGGCAUGAGCCACCGCGCCUGGCCCUCCCCAGUUUAUUUCAUUCAAUAUUUAGCUAACAAAGUUUUAGGUUUCUUCCCCCUUUACUACUAAUAUAAGCAAUUAAGGCUGCAUAGUCCCCUCUAACUAUUGCAUUAGGUAUGUCCCAGAAGGUUUUAUUUCAGUUCUAAAUAUUUUUUCAUUUCCAUUAUGAUUUCUUUUGAUGUAUCAAUUAUUUAUGUUUUCAACCUACAAAUACAGUUUUUGGACUUCUUUGAGACAGAGUCUCACUCUGUCACCCAGGCUGGAGUGCAAUGGUACGAUCUGGGCUCACUGCAACCUCCGCCUCC
rnacentral:lncRNA from 10 species